rnacentral:lncRNA from 1 species
CUGGGGCCGGGAAAACCGAGGAAUACACAUGCGCAGUUGGACCCCUAAGGCCCUUAGUGUCCCUUCCUACCCAACUCCCCGCCCCGACCCUCUGGGCGGGGCUGGGCCGAUAGUCCAGCUGCUGCUCGCUGGAGAUUCAGUGACUUCCUUAUUGUGAGUGCUGGCCCGCCAGUGUCCCGACUCGUAGCCCCGCUGUUUUUAUCCGGGCCGCUAGCCUGAGUCUAGGUCGCAGCCGCAGCCCCAACCCGUCGGUCACCUUUUCAGCGCAGGUUCUUUCCCCGCACGCCCUGCGCUCCCUAACAUGCCCAACCCCAGCAGCACCUCCUCUCCAUACCCCCUCCCUGAGGAAAUUAGGAACCUGUUGGCAGAUGUUGAAACAUUUGUAGCAGACAUACUGAAAGGAGAAAAUUUAUCUAAGAAAGCAAAGGAAAAGAGAGAAUCCCUUAUUAAGAAGAUAAAAGAUGUAAAGUCUAUCUAUCUUCAGGAAUUUCAAGACAAAGAUUUGCGAGACAGCUGCUUAGCAGACUGAAAACCAGAUCAGG